UGGGCUGAUAGGAAUAUUUAUGCCCUCUCCCCUCGGAUGCGGCGCGCAAGCUGGAUGUCUUUAGGCAUAAUAGUGACGCGUUUGGCGUGAAUGGCGCACAGGUUGGUAUCCUCAAAUAGCCCCACCAGGUAGGCCUCGCAAUCCUGUGCGAUCUCCCGUACCAAGCGCUGAAAAGGUAGCUUCCGGAUUAGCAGCUCGGUCGACUUCUGGUAG
rnacentral:lncRNA from 1 species